rnacentral:rRNA from 1 species
UACGGGGGGAGCAAGCGUUGUUCGGAUUUACUGGGCGUAAAGGGCGCGUAGGCGGCCAGUGCAAGUCAGUUGUGAAAUCUCCGGGCUUAACUCGGAAAGGUCAACUGAUACUGUGCGACUAGAGUGCGGAAGGGGCAACUGGAAUUCUCGGUGUAGCGGUGAAAUGCGUAGAUAUCGAGAGGAACACCUGCGGCGAAGGCGGGUUGCUGGGCCGACACUGACGCUGAUGCGCGAAAGCCAGGGGAGCGAACGGG